UACGGAGGAUGCAAGCGUUAUCCGGAAUGAUUGGGCGUAAAGCGUCCGCAGGUGGCUAUGUAAGUCUGCUGUUAAAGAGUGAGGCUCAACCUCAUAAAAGCAGUGGAAACUACAUGGCUAGAGUGCGUUCGGGGCAGAGGGAAUUCCUGGUGUAGCGGUGAAAUGCGUAGAGAUCAGGAAGAACACCGGUGGCGAAGGCGCCCACCUGGCCUGCUACUGACGCUGAAGCUCGAAAGCUAGGGGAGCAAACGGG
rnacentral:rRNA from 1 species